rnacentral:rRNA from 1 species
GAUGAACGCUGGCGGCGUGCCUAAUACAUGCGAGUCGAGCGAACAGACGAGGAGCUUGCUCCUCUGACGUUAGCGGCGGACGGGUGAGUAACACGUGGAUAACCUACCUAUAAGACUGGGAUAACUUCGGGAAACCGGAGCUAAUACCGGAUAAUAUAUUGAACCGCAUGGUUCAAUAGUGAAAGACGGUUUUGCUGUCACUUAUAGAUGGAUCCGCGCCGCAUUAGCUAGUUGGUAAGGUAAAGGCUUACCAAGGCAACGAUGCGUAGCCGACCUGAGAGGGUGAUCGGCCACACUGGAACUGAGACACGGUCCAGACUCCUACGGGAGGCAGCAGUAGGGAAUCUGCCGCAAUGGGCGAAAGCCUGACGGAGCAACGCGGCGUGAGUGAUGAAGGUCUUCGGAUCGUAAAACUCUGCUAUUAGGGAAGAACAAAUGUGUAAGUAACUAUGCACGUCUUGACGGUACCUAAUCAGAAAGCCACGGCUAACUACGUG